AUUGAACGCUGGCGGCAUGCCUUACACAUGCAAGUCGAACGGCAGCACGGACUUCGGUCUGGUGGCGAGUGGCGAACGGGUGAGUAAUAUAUCGGAACAUACCUUGUAGUGGGGGAUAACUAUCCGAAAGGAUAGCUAAUACCGCAUACGCUCUAAGGAGGAAAGCGGGGGAUCGUAAGACCUCGUGCUAUAAGAGUGGCCGAUAUCUGAUUAGAUAGUUGGUGAGGGAAAGGCUCACAAAGGCGACGAUCAGUAGCUGGUCUGAGAGGACGACCAGCCACACUGGAACUGAGACACGGUCCAGACUCCUACGGGAGGCAGCAGUGGGGAAUUUUGGACAAUGGGGGCAACCCUGAUCCAGCAAUGCCGCGUGAGUGAAGAAGGCCUUCGGGUUGUAAAGCUCUUUUGUCAGGGAAGAAACGGUUGUGGCUAAUAUCCAUGGCUAAUGACGGUACCUGAAGAAUAAGCACCGGCUAACUACGUGCCAGCAGCCGCCGUAACAC
rnacentral:rRNA from 1 species